rnacentral:rRNA from 1 species
AAUUGUAAAUUUAGCCCCCCCCCCUUUCCCUCAAAGAGACCCCCCCCACACACUUUUUUUAUGAUAGUAUGGGUGACAGAAAACCUAUUAGCGCAAUAAUACAAGUACUGUAAAGGAAUAAUGAAAUAGAAAUUAAAUAAAACAUAAAAAUAAAAUAAAGCAAGAAAGAAACCCUCUACCUUUUGCAUCAUGGUCUAGCAAGUCAUACUCUUCAAAAAGAACUUAGAAGGCUUCCCCGAAACCAAACGAGCUACCUUAUGACACAUAUCUCCCUGUAGCAAAAGGGUGAAAAGAUCCUAUGGUAGAGGCAAAAAACCUAACGAGCUUGGACAUAGCUGGUUGCUUGAAAAAGAAUUUAAGUUCACAUAAAAACAUUUUUACCAUCAAGGAAAAUUAAUUUUUUUAUACUAAUUAACUGAGUUACAGCCCAGUUAAUAAGGNAGACAUCCCAUAUAAAUGAAUAAUGAUUUUUAAGAAACUGAGUCUAGUAGGCCUAAAAGCAGUCACCAACAAAAGCGUCAAAGCUUCGCUCAAAAAAAUCAACUAUUUCACUAAAUAAUCCUAAUUCAACAAAACAAUCAAGCUAAUCUAUUUUUAGAUGAACUACUACUAGAAUUAGUAAUAAGAAUUAUUCUCUAUAAUACAAGCAUACAUCAGAACGAACCAAUCGCUGAUAGUUAAUGAAAACAUUUCUUUAAUCAAGAACAUAAUAAUUAAUAACAUUAACCCAACACAGGAGUAUUUAAGAAAGACCUAAAGGUUAGAAAGGAACUCGGCAAACCUAGGCUUCGCCUGUUUACCAAAAACAUCGCCUUUUGAAGUAUAAACAUAAAAGGUCCUGCCUGCCCAAUGACUUGUUUUAAUGGCCGCGGUAUAAUGACCGUGCAAAGGUAGCGUAAUCAUUUGUCUCCUAAAUAGGGACCAGUAUGAAUGGCAAAACGAAAGCCUCACUGUCUCUCUAACCCAGUCAAUGAAAUUGAUCUUCCCGUGCAGAAGCGGGAAUAAAAAUAUAAGACGAGAAGACCCUGUGGAGCUUUAAACUUAAGUUAACAAACAUAAUGCUUUAACACCCAGUUUUAGGUUGGGGCGACCAUGAGGUAUAACAUAACCCUCACGAUAAUAAACAGAAGGACACUUCAAAUAACUAAUAUAGCAUAUUGACCCAAUAAUUGAUCAACGAACCAAGUUACCCCAGGGAUAACAGCGCAAUCCGCUCAAAGAGUCCAUAUCGACGAGCAGGUUUACGACCUCGAUGUUGGAUCAGGACCCCCAAAUAACGCAACAGUUAUUAAAGGUUCGUUUGUUCAACGAUUAAAGUCCUACGUGAUCUGAGUUCAGACCGGAGCAAUCCAGGUCAGUUUCUAUCUAUAAUCUAACUUUUCUAGUACGAAAGGACCGAAAAAUUAAGGCCUAUAAACAAUUUAAGCCUCACAAAAAUCUCUGAAUACAAAUAAAGAAACCAAGAACAAAUCAU